rnacentral:misc_RNA from 1 species
AAGUCGUAACAAGGUUUCCGUAGGUGAACCUGCGGAAGGAUCAUUACUGUUUGCGGGCCCCUGGUUGGCUGUCUGACAAGUAUGAAAACCCUUGCCCUCUUUUGCGCACCCUUAGUUUCCUCGGCAGCCAUGGCUGCCAGCGGGGACCCCAAAAAACCCUUCUUGCAAUACCUGUGAAACCUUCUGAAAAAUACCCAAUCGUUAAAACUUUCAACAAUGGAUCUCUUGGCUCUG